CUGAAUUUCCACAAAAUAUCAAGAGAAGAAAUCUGUGACUUCUUUUUACUGAAAAAAAAGAGAAAAAUGGAUGUUCGUGACGAAAUUGACAUGAACAAGCUUCAAAAUCCACCGAAAAGCAAAAAAAAAACGAAGAUGCCGAAAGAAAAAAAGGAAACGACUGGAAGAUCUAGUGAAGAGCAAAAAAUCGGGAAUGCAAAGCAACCAAACAUGAAGGAGUAAGUUAUUUUAAGUUUUCGUAGAUAAAUUCAUUUUAAUUUACAUAUGUUCAAUCAAUUUUAUGUUAAUGUUCAAUCGUUUUUAAUUUAAUGUUCAUUUUCGUUGCGUGAUGAUUUAACCAAACCCUAACUAUUGGUUUUUUGAUCACAGAACUGGAAAAUACGAAAUUGAGAAGGAAAUUGAAGCUGAAAAGCAAAUAGACACAUUCCAAGAACAACCACAAAGGUUAAUACUCAAAUUUAAGCGAAGACCAACUAAAUCCCAGCCAGAGGUUCAGAAAGUAUUAAGUGAAGGAGAUGGGAAGGCAUGUACAACUUCUGAGACAGAAGUUCAAAAACCAUUGAGUGAAGGAGAUAAGAAAUCUUCAUCAAAAUCACAGCCUGAAGUUCAAAAAACAUCAAGGGGCAACAACUUACUGAAACAACUUUUAGCAAAGAGCAUAAAGCAGAACAACAAAAAAAAGGCUAC